UUGGGUUUAAAGGGUCCGUAGGCGGACCUUUAAGUCAGUGGUGAAAUCCUAUCGCUCAACGAUAGAACUGCCAUUGAAACUGAAGGUCUUGAAUUAUUUUGAAGUUGGCGGAAUGAGUAGUGUAGCGGUGAAAUGCAUAGAUAUUACUCAGAACACCGAUUGCGAAGGCAGCUGACUAAGAAUAUAUUGACGCUGAUGGACGAAAGCGUAGGUAGCGAACAGGAUUAGAUACCCUGGUAGUCUACGCAGUAAACGAUGGAUACUCGUUGUCGGGAAAAUUGAGACUCGGUGGCUAAGCGAAAGUGAUAAGUAUCCCACCUGGGGAGUACGAUCGCAAGAUUGAAACUCAAAGGAAUUGACGGGGGCCCGCACAAGCGGUGGAGCAUGUGGUUUAAUUCGAUGAUACGCGAGGAACCUUACCUGGGCUUAAAUGUAUUUUGAUCGUACUGGAAACAGUAUUUCUCGCAAGAGCAAUUUACAAGGUGCUGCAUGGUUGUCGUCAGCUCGUGCCGUGAGGUGUCAGGUUAAGUCCUAUAACGAGCGCAACCCCUAUCGAUAGUUGCUAGCAGGUAAUGCUGAGGACUCUAUUGAGACUGCCGGUGCAAACCGUGAGGAAGGUGGGGAUGACGUCAAAUCAUCACGGCCCUUACGUCCAGGGCCACACACGUGCUACAAUGGUGCAUACAGAGAGCAGCCACUUG
rnacentral:rRNA from 1 species